AUUGAACGCUGGCGGCAGGCCUAACACAUGCAAGUCGAGCGGAUGAAGGGAGCUUGCUCCUGGAUUCAGCGGCGGACGGGUGAGUAAUGCCUAGGAAUCUGCCUUGUCGUGGGGGAUAACGUCCGGAAACGGGCGCUAACACCGCAUACGUCCUGAUGUAGAAAGUGGGGGAUCUUCGGACCUCACGCUAUCAGAUGAGCCUAGGUCGGAUUAGCUAGUUGGUGGGGUAAAGGCCUACCAAGGCGACGAUCCGUAACUGGUCUGAGAGGAUGAUCAGUCACACUGGAACUGAGACACGGUCCAGACUCCUACGGGAGGCAGCAGUGGGGAAUAUUCGACAAUGGGCGAAAGCCUGAUCCAGCAAUGCCGCGUGUGUGAAGAAGGUCUUCGGAUUGUAAAGCACUUUAAGUUGGGAGGAAGGGCAGUAAGUUAAUACCUUGCUGUUUUGACGUUACCAACAGAAUAAGCACCGGCUAACUUCGUG
rnacentral:rRNA from 1 species